GAGGGUAUAGCUCAGUGGUAGAGCACAUGCUUAACAUGCACAAGGUUCUGGGUUCAAUCCCUAGUACUUCCA
rnacentral:tRNA from 1 species